CCUACGGGAGGCAGCAGUAAGGAAUAUUGGUCAAUGGGCGCAAGCCUGAACCAGCCAUGCCGCGUGCAGGAAGACGGCCCUAUGGGUUGUAAACUGCUUUUGAACAAGAGAAAACCUCGGUACGUGUACCGAGCUGAUAGUAUUGUUAGAAUAAGCAUCGGCUAACUUCGUGCCAGCAGCCGCGGUAAGACGAAGGAUGCAAGCGUUAUCCGGAUUCAUUGGGUUUAAAGGGUGCGUAGGCGGCCUGAUAAGUCAGUGGUGAAAUCUCUCAGCUUAACUGAGAAACUGCCAUUGAUACUGUCGGGCUUGAGUACAGAUGAUGUGGGCGGAAUAUGACAUGUAGUGGUGAAAUACUUAGAUAUGUCAUAGAACACCGAUUGCGAAGGCAGCUCACAAAACUGUAACUGACGCUGAGGCACGAAAGUGCGGGGAUCAAACAGGAUUAGAUACCCUGGUAGUCCGCACCGUAAACGAUGAUUACUCGUUGUUGGCAAUAUGACCGUCAGCGACCAAGCGAAAGCGAUAAGAAUCCACCUGGGGAGUACGCCGGCAACGGUGAAACGUCAAAUGAAUUGACGGGCGNGAGAGNGCGAGACGACGACGAGGGAGAGG
rnacentral:rRNA from 1 species